rnacentral:lncRNA from 1 species
AGAGCUCCUCUUCUGACUAAUAUUAUGGAUUGCAACAAUGAAGGAAAAUGAACAUCCACUGAUAUGUGCAUUAGCUUCAUAACAUCUCCUUCUCCUGGCCAAGCUGACGCUUCAGUCGGCUGUUACUGCUGCUAGACACAACAUGUUGUGGGUGUUCAUCAGAUGGAGAUGCAGAAUAGCAGAGGAAUAUUACGGCUCAGACCCUCGGGCUGACAGUUCAAGGACCACAUAAAAACGAAGCAAAUCAAAAUACUGAUAGAGAGACUAAUAAUUUGCAGAAGAAUCAAACUCCAUACCUCUUUUAUAAUUUAUAAUUUGAAUUGUACAACCUAAAAUUUGUAUAAGCCUAUGACACCAGGAACUCUUCAGUAUGACUACAAAUGAAAUGAGCAAAAGCAGCACAUGGAUGUUCAGGAAACUUAAGUCUUUGUCUUAAGAGGCCAUACAUAUUUUUCAUAUUUUCAGUGAUCUAUCCUCGACCAUGCAAUGAUGGAAUUAUAGAAUAAUCUAUUUUACGCAGCAAUGGUAUAUUAUCUUUAC